rnacentral:rRNA from 1 species
AUUGAACGCUGGCGGCAUGCCUUACACAUGCAAGUCGAACGGUAACAGGUCUUCGGAUGCUGACGAGUGGCGAACGGGUGAGUAAUAUAUCGGAACGUGCCCAGUCGUGGGGGAUAACGCAGCGAAAGCUGUGCUAAUACCGCAUACGAUCUAUGGAUGAAAGCGGGGGAUCGCAAGACCUCGCGCGAUUGGAGCGGCCGAUGGCAGAUUAGGUAGUUGGUGGGGAUAAAAGCUUACCAAGCCGACGAUCUGUAGCUGGUCUGAGAGGACGACCAGCCACACUGGGACUGAGACACGGCCCAGACUCCUACGGGAGGCAGCAGUGGGGAAUUUUGGACAAUGGGCGAAAGCCUGAUCCAGCCAUGCCGCGUGCAGGAAGAAGGCCUUCGGGUUGUAAAGCUCUUUCGGCCGGGAAAAAUACGCAUCAGUUAAUACCUGGUGUGGAUGAUGGUACCGGAAUAAGAAGCACCGGCUAACUACGUGCC